rnacentral:rRNA from 1 species
UACGUAGGGCGCAAGCGUUAUCCGGAAUUAUUGGGCGUAAAGAGCUCGUAGGCGGUUUGUCGCGUCUGCCGUGAAAGUCCGGGGCUCAACUCCGGAUCUGCGGUGGGUACGGGCAGACUAGAGUGAUGUAGGGGAGACUGGAAUUCCUGGUGUAGCGGUGAAAUGCGCAGAUAUCAGGAGGAACACCGGUGGCGAAGGCGGAUCUCUGGGCCUUACCUGACGCUGAGGAGCGAAAGCAUGGGGAGCAAACAGG